rnacentral:rRNA from 1 species
GAUACGCGAAGAACCUUACCUGGGCUUGAUAUCCUAAGAACCUUUUAGAGAUAAGAGGGUGCUAGCUUGCUAGAACUUAGAGACAGGUGCUGCACGGCUGUCGUCAGCUCGUGUCGUGAGAUGUUGGGUUAAGUCCCGCAACGAGCGCAACCCACGUAUUUAGUUGCUAACGGUUCGGCCGAGCACUCUAAAUAGACUGCCUUCGUAAGGAGGAGGAAGGUGUGGACGACGUCAAGUCAUCAUGGCCCUUAUGCCCAGGGCGACACACGUGCUACAAUGGCAUAUACAAUGAGACGCAAUACCGCGAGGUGGAGCAAAUCUAUAAAAUAUGUCCCAGUUCGGAUUGUUCUCUGCAACUCGAGAGCAUGAAGCCGGAAUCGCUAGUAAUCGUAGAUCAGCCAUGCUACGGUGAAUACGUUCCCGGGUCUUGUACUCACCGCCCGUCACACCAUGGGAGUUGAUUUCACUCGAAGCCGGAAUACUAAACUAGUUACCGUCCACAGUGGAAUCAGCGACUGGGGUGAAGUCGUAACAAGGUAACCGUAGGAGAACCUGCGGUUGGAUCACCUCCUUUCUA